UACGUAGGGGCCGAGCGUUGUCCGGAGUUACUGGGCGUAAAGCGCGCGCAGGUGGCUCAUUACGCCCGGCGUGAAAGCCCCCGGCCUAACCGGGGAGGGUCGUCGGGGACGGGUGAGCUUGAGGGUAUCAGGGGCUGGUGGAAUUCCCGGUGUAGUGGUGAAAUGCGUAGAGAUCGGGAGGAACACCCGUGGCGAAGGCGGCCAGCUGGGAUACACCUGACACUGAGGCGCGAAGGCGUGGGGAGCGAACGGG
rnacentral:rRNA from 1 species